UGGCGGAUGGCUCAGUGGUAGAGCACCUGGCUUCUAACCAGGAGGUCGGAGGUUCGAAUCCUUCUCCGCCAG
rnacentral:tRNA from 1 species